AUCGCUUCUCGGCCUAUUGGCUAAGAUCAAAGUGUAGUAUCUGUUCUUAUCAGCUUGAUAUCUGAUACGCUCCUCAUUGAGGAGCCAGAAUAUCGAACUGAUUUUUGGAAUAUGGCGGAGUGUCUGGGGCUUGCUCCGGCUCCGCCGCGGGUCGACCUUGCAUUGCAGUACCGCAAGGAACGGCCCACACAAU
rnacentral:snRNA from 1 species